AUGGUCGGGUCGGGGUCGAAGCAUGCCGCGGGCGGGAGCGGCCUCGGCGGCGGAGGGGAGAGGCGCAAGUACCCGAUCCGCGCCGAGGACUACGAGCUGUACGAGGAGAUCGGGCAGGGCGUCAGCGCCAUCGUCUACCGCGCGCUCUGCAGGCCGCUCGGCGAGACCGUCGCCGUCAAGGUGCUCGACUUCGAGCGCACCAACAGCAACCUGAACAAUAUCAUGCGUGAAGCCCAGACAAUGAUUCUUAUAGACCAUCCUAAUGUUGUUAAGGCGAUCUGUUCAUUUGCAAAUAACCAAACGUUAUGGGUAGUUAUGCCGUACAUGGCUGGAGGAUCUUGUCUUCACAUAAUGAAAUCAGUCUAUCCGGAUGGUUUCGAGGAAGCUGUCAUUGCAACACUGCUCCGUGAAGUUCUAAGAGGAUUGGAAUAUCUUCAUCAUCAUGGGCAUAUACAUCGUGAUGUCAAGGCGGGAAAUAUCCUAGUUGAUUCUCGUGGUGGAGUUAAGCUUGGAGAUUUUGGGGUUUCUGCUUGCCUUUUUGAAUCUGGUGACAGACAGCGGGCUAGAAACACUUUCGUGGGAACUCCUUGCUGGAUGGCACCAGAGGUAAUGGAGCAACUACAUGGAUAUGAUUUCAAGGCAGACAUAUGGUCCUUUGGAAUUACCGCACUUGAACUUGCCCAUGGUCACGCUCCUUUCUCAAAGUACCCUCCCAUGAAGGUCUUGCUUAUGACACUUCAAAAUGCUCCCCCCGGUCUUGAUUAUGAAAGAGAUAAGAAAUUCUCAAGGCACUUCAAGCAAAUGGUAGCUAUGUGUUUGGUAAAAGAGCCUUCAAAAAGGCCGACUGCAACAAAAUUGCUCAAGCAAUCCUUUUUCAAGCAAGCUCGUUCCCAUGAUUACAUUGUUCGAAAGCUUUUGGAGGGAUUGCCUGGCCUUGGCGCUAGAUAUCAAGCUUUGAAGGAAAAGGAUGAACAUUUACUUGCUCAAAAGAAAAUGCCUGAUGGUAGAAAGGAAGAAAUCUCGCAGGUGCUAAUUCUAAAUUUGUAA
rnacentral:rRNA from 1 species